UACGUAGGGUGCGAGCGUUAAUCGGAAUUACUGGGCGUAAAGCGUGCGCAGGCGGUUGUGCAAGACCGAUGUGAAAGCCCCGGGCUCAACCUGGGAACGGCAUUGGUGACUGCACGGCUAGAGUGUGUCAGAGGGGGGGUAGAAUUCCACGUGUAGCAGUGAAAUGCGUAGAGAUGUGGAGGAAUACCGAUGGCGAAGGCAGCCCCCCUGGGAUGACACUGACGCUCAUGCACGAAAGCGUGGGGAGCAAACAGG
rnacentral:rRNA from 1 species